UGGGGAAUAUUGCACAAUGGGCGAAAGCCUGAUGCAGCAACGCCGCGUGAGCGAAGAAGGUCUUCGGAUCGUAAAGCUCUGUCCUUGGGGAAGAUAAUGACGGUACCCUUGGAGGAAGCCCCGGCUAACUACGUGCCAGCAGCCGCGGUAAUACGUAGGGGGCAAGCGUUAUCCGGAAUUAUUGGGCGUAAAGAGUGCGUAGGUGGUUAUCUAAGCGUAAGGUUUAAGCGUGCAGCUCAACUGCCAUCUCGCCUUGCGAACUGGACUACUUGGGUGCAGGAGGGGAAAGCGGAAUUCCUAGUGUAGCGGUGAAAUGCGUAGAUAUUAGGAGGAACACCAGCGGCGAAGGCGGCUUUCUGGACUGUAACUGACACUGAGGCACGAAAGCGUGGGGAGCAAAC
rnacentral:rRNA from 1 species